AUCCAGCUGACGAGUCCCAAUUGAGACGAAACGUACGUCUUAGAU
rnacentral:hammerhead_ribozyme from 1 species